GUGCCAGCCGCCGCGGUAAAACCAGCACCUCAAGUGGUCAGGAGGAUUAUUGGGCCUAAAGCAUCCGUAGCCUGCUCUGUAAGUUUCCGGUUAAAUMCAUUAGCUCAACUAAUGGCCUGCCGGAAAUACUGCAGAGCUAGGAAGUGGGAGAGGUAGACGGUACUCGGUAGGAAGGGGUAAAAUCCUUUGAUCUAUUGAUGACCACCUGUGGCGAAGGCGGUCUACCAGAACACGUUCGACGGUGAGGGAUGAAAGCUGGGGGAGCAAACCGGAUUAGAUACCCGGGUAGUCCCAGCUGUAAACGAUGCAGACUCGGUGAUGCCCUGGCUUGUGGCCAGUGCAGUGCCGCAGGGAAGCCGUUAAGUUUGCCGCCUGGGAAGUACGUACGCAAGUAUGAAACUUAAAGGAAUUGGCGGGGGAGCACCACAAGGGGUGAAGCCUGCGGUUCAAUUGGAGUCAACGCCAGAAAUCUUACCCGGAGAGACAGCAGAAUGAAGGUCAAGCUGAAGACUUUACCAGACAAGCUGAGAGGUGGUGCAUGGCCGUCGCCAGCUCGUGCCGUGAGAUGUCCUGUUAAGUCAGGUAACGAGCGAGAUCCCUGCCUCUAGUUGCCACCAUUACUCUCAGGAGUAGUGGGGCGAAUUAGCGGGACCGCCACAGUUAAUGUGGAGGAAGGAAGGGGCCACGGCAGGUCAGUAUGCCCCGAAACUCUGGGGCCACACGCGGGCUGCAAUGGUAGUGACAAUGAGUUCCGAAACCGAAAGGUGGAGGUAAUCUUCAAACGCUACCACAGUUAUGAUUGAGGGCUGCAACUCGCCCUCAUGAAUAUGGAAUCCCUAGUAACUGCGUGUCAUUAUCGCGCGGUGAAUACGUCCCUGCUCCUUGCACACACCGCCCGUC
rnacentral:rRNA from 1 species